UUGACCUCAAAUCGGGUGAGACUACCCGCUGAACUUAAGCAUAUCAAUAAGCGGAGGAAAAGAAACUAACAAGGAUUCCCCUAGUAACUGCGAGUGAAGCGGGAAAAGCUCAAAUUUAAAAUCUGGUGGUUUUUGGCCAUCCGAGUUGUAAUUUAGAGAAGCGUCUUCCGCGCUGGACCGUGUACAAG
rnacentral:rRNA from 1 species